ensembl:snoRNA small nucleolar RNA SNORD97
UUGCCCAGUGAUUAAAAAAAGACGCGUUAUUCUGAGGGAUACAACCAGCUGCCAGUCUGUGACUUUUCUGUCCCUCUAUCUUUUUGUCUCCUCCACCUCUCCUAUCCUUCUGCACCUCAUCUUCUUUUUCUCCUCAAACUGGCAGCUGGUCCGCUGACUGUGAUUAUGAGAUAUGAGGGCAA